rnacentral:rRNA from 1 species
CAGUCGCCGCGGGAAUACGAAGGGGGCUAGCGUUGUUCGGAAUUACUGGGCGUAAAGGGCGCGUAGGCGGCCAUUCAAGUUAGAUGUGAAAGCCCUGGGCUCAACCUAGGAAUUGCAUUUGAUACUGUUUGGCUUGAGUUCGGGAGAGGUGAGUGGAAUUCCCAGUGUAGAGGUGAAAUUCGUAGAUAUUGGGAAGAACACCAGUAGCGAAGGCGGCUCACUGGACCGACACUGACGCUGAGGCGCGAAAGCGUGGGGAGCAAACAGGAUUAGAUACCCCGGUAGUCCCUGUCUCUUAUAC